rnacentral:rRNA from 1 species
GACAGAAUCUCCAAGCGUUACCCGGAUUUAUUGGGCGUAAAGGGUCCGUAGGUGGUUUAGUAAGUUGAAAGUUAAAUCUCAUCGGCUUAACCUUUGAGGUGCUUUCAAUACUGCUAAACUUGAGGGCGUUAGGGGUUAACGGAACCGACGGAGUAGGGGUGAAAUCCGUUGAUAUCGUCGGGAACACCAAAAGCGAAGGCAGUUAACUAGGACGACCCUGACACUGAGGGACGAAAGCGUGGGGA